CCGGCAUCACUGGAGUGGUGGCGCAGCUGUUUCCUCCGAAGCUGUGGUGAUCAGUGACUUUGGUGAAGGCUAAGAAGGUUCAAACAAAUUUGCAAAUGAUAUACAACUUCUAAGGUAAGCUACUAUGAUGACUCAAUCAAGAUUUUAAGUGCUCUUGACAGACCU
rnacentral:lncRNA from 1 species